UGCCCCCAGUAACGGCGAGUGAAGCGGCAACAGCUCAAAUUUGAAAUCUGGCCACCCGGCCCGAGUUGUAAUUUGCAGAGGAUGCUUCCGGCGAGGCACCUACCGAGUCCCCUGGAAUGGGGCGCCACAGAGGGUGAGAGCCCCGUAUGGUAGGACGCCGAGCCGAUGUGAAGCUCCUUCGACGAGUCGAGUAGUUUGGGAAUGCUGCUCUAAAUGGGAGGUAAAUUUCUUCUAAAGCUAAAUACCGGCCAGAGACCGAUAGCGCACAAGUAGAGUGAUCGAAAGAUGAAAAGCACUUUGAAAAGAGGGUUAAAAAGUACGUGAAAUUGUUGAAAGGGAAGCGCUUGUGACCAGACUUGCGCCGGCCGGAUCAUCCAGCGUUCUCGCUGGUGCACUCCGGCCGGCUCAGGCCAGCAUCGGUUUCCGCCGGGGGACAAAGGCCUCGGGAACGUAGCUCGCUCCGGCGAGUGUUAUAGCCCGUGGCGUAAUACCCCGGCGGGGACCGACGACCGCGCUUCGGCAAGGAUGCUGGCGUAAUGGUCAUCAGCGACCCGUCUUGAAACACGGACCGAGGAGUCAAGCAUUAGUGCGAGUGUUUGGGUGUAAAACCCGCACGCGUAAUGAAAGUGAACGUAGGUGAGAGCUUCGGCGCAUCAUCGACCGAUCCUGAAGUCUUCUGAUGGAUUUGAGUAGGAGCAUUAACGCUUGGACCCGAAAGAUGGUGAACUAUACUUGAAUAGGGUGAAGCCA
rnacentral:rRNA from 1 species